rnacentral:rRNA from 1 species
UACGGAGGAGGCAAGCGUUAUCCGGAAUUAUUGGGCGUAAAGCGUCCGCAGGUGGCUUUGUAAGUCUGCUGUUAAAGAGUGAGGCUCAACCUCAUAAGAGCAGUGGAAACUACAAGGCUAGAGUACGUUCGGGGCAGAGGGAAUUCCUGGUGUAGCGGUGAAAUGCGUAGAGAUCAGGAAGAACACCGGUGGCGAAAGCGCUCUGCUAGGCCGUAACUGACACUGAGGGACGAAAGCUAGGGGAGCGAAUGGG